GACGAACGCUGGCGGCGUGCUUAACACAUGCAAGUCGAACGGAAAGGCCCUGCUUUUGUGGGGUGCUCGAGUGGCGAACGGGUGAGUAACACGUGAGUAACCUGCCCUUGACUUUGGGAUAACUUCAGGAAACUGGGGCUAAUACCGGAUAGGAGCUCCUGCUGCAUGGUGGGGGUUGGAAAGUUUCGGCGGUUGGGGAUGGACUCGCGGCUUAUCAGCUUGUUGGUGGGGUAGUGGCUUACCAAGGCUUUGACGGGUAGCCGGCCUGGGAGGGUGACCGGCGACAUUGGGCCUGCGAUACGGAGCAGACUCCUACGGGAGACAGCAGUGGGGAAUAUUGUACAAUGGGGGGAAGCGUGAUGCAGAAACGCUGGGUGCGGGAUGACGGCCUUUGGGUUGUAAACAGAUUUCGCCUGAGACGAAGCGUGAGUGACGGUAAUGGGUAAAGAAGCACCGGCUAACUACGUG
rnacentral:rRNA from 1 species